CCAACAGGGAUUGCCCUAGUAACGGCGAGUGAAGCGGCAACAGCUCAAAUUUGAAAUCUGGCCUCACGGUCCGAGUUGUAAUUUGCAGAGGGUGCCUCGGGUGCGACUCCGGUCUAAGUUCCUUGGAACAGGGCGUCAUAGAGGGUGAGAAUCCCGUACGUGACCGGUCGUCAACCCCAUGUGAGGCCCCUUCGACGAGUCGAGUUGUUUGGGAAUGCAGCUCAAAAUGGGUGGUAAACCUCAUCUAAAGCUAAAUACUGGCCAGAGACCGAUAGCGCACAAGUAGAGUGAUCGAAAGAUGAAAAGCACUUUUGGAAAGAGAGUUAAAAAGUAUGUGAAAUUGUUGAAGGGAAGCGCUC
rnacentral:rRNA from 1 species